rnacentral:rRNA from 1 species
AGGUUUCCGUAGUGAACCUGCGGAAGGAUCAUUG